CCCUUAGAUGUUCUGGGCUGCACGCGCGCUACACUGAAGGGAUCAACGCGUCUUCCCUUUCCGAGAGGAACGGGUAACCUCUUGAAUCCCCUUCGUGGUAGGGAUCGGGGCUUGCAAUUAUUCCCCGUGAACCAGGAAUUCCUAGUAGACGCGAGUCAUAAGCUCGCAUCGAUUAAGUCCCUGCCCUUUGUACACACCGCCCGUCGCUACUACCGAUUGAACGUUUUAGUGAGGUAUUUGGACCGAUGCCUGGCAGUCUAACCGCUGCUUUGCGUUGGAAAGAUUCCCAAACUUGAGCGUUUAGAGGAAGUAAAAGUCGUAACA
rnacentral:rRNA from 1 species